rnacentral:rRNA from 1 species
UGCCCAAAAGCUAGCCCACCUAACCAACCUCAAAUAAAUCAAUCUAAAUAACCCCGAAGACACCACUAUUUAAAUUACCAAACCAUUUUCCCUCCUUAGUAUAGGCGAUAGAAAAGGACUCACGGCGCAAUAGAGAAAGUACCGCAAGGGAAUGCUGAAAGAGAAGUGAAACAACUCAUAAAAGCUCAGAAAAGCAGAGAUUAUAACUCGUACCUUUUGCAUCAUGAUUUAGCAAGUGUAACUUAAGCAAAGAGAACUUUAGUUUAACAUCCCGAAACUACGUGAGCUACUCCAAGACAGCCUGUUAAUAGGGCACACCCGUCUCUGUUGCAAAAGAGUGGGAAGAGCUUUGAGUAGAGGUGAUAGACCUACCGAACAUAGUUAUAGCUGGUUGCCCAGGAAAUGAAUAGAAGUUCAGCCUUCCGGCUUCUCUUUUCACCCCGGCCUAACACCAAUUGAUGAUAUAAGAAACCGGAAGAGUUAGUCAAAGGGGGUACAGCCCCUUUGAACCAAGGUACAACUUUGUCAGGAGGGUAAAGAUCAUACUAAGCAAGGAAAGUACUCCCGUGGGCUUGAAAGCAGCCAUCCUUGAAGAAAGCGUCACAGCUCAAGUACUCUACUUAAACCCUCUUAUUCUGAUCACCUAAUCUUAUCCCCCUAAUUAUACUGGGCCUUCCCAUGCUUUCAUGGGAGUGACGAUGCUAAUAUGAGUAAUAAGGGGGCCUACGCCCCCCUCCCCGCACACGUGUACACCGGAACGGACCACCCGCCGACUCUUAACGAACCCAACAAAAGAGGGAAUUGGAUAACAAACCAAACAACUAGAAAACUAUCCAAAAACUAGCCGUUAACCCCACACAGGUGUGCCCCCGGGAAAGACUAAAAGGAAAAGAAGGAACUCGGCAAACAUAAGCCCUCGCCUGUUUACCAAAAACAUCGCCUCUUGAAACCUACUAAUAAGAGGUCCCGCCUGCCCUGUGACUAUAGUUUAACGGCCGCGGUAUUUUGACCGUGCGAAGGUAGCGCAAUCACUUGUCUUUUAAAUGGAGACCUGUAUGAAUGGCAUAACGAGGGCUUAACUGUCUCCUUUUCCCGGUCAAUGAACUUGAUCUCCCCGUGCAGAAGCGGGGAUACUACCAUAAGACGAGAAGACCCUAUGGAGCUUUAGACACUAGAGUAGACCAUGUUAAUGAGCCUGAACAAAGGACUAAACAGAAUGGACCCUCCCCUAAUGUCUUUGGUUGGGGCGACCGCGGGGUACUAAACAACCCCCACGUGGAGUGGGAGUACCCCCUCCUGCAGCCGAGAGUUACAGCUCUAAUAAACAGAAAUUCUGACCAAAAAGAUCCGGCAACGCCGAUCAACGGACCGAGUUACCCUAGGGAUAACAGCGCAAUCCUCUUUUAGAGCCCAUAUCGACAAGGGGGUUUACGACCUCGAUGUUGGAUCAGGACAUCCUAAUGGUGCAGCCGCUAUUAAGGGUUCGUUUGUUCAACGAUUAAAGUCCUACGUGAUCUGAGUUCAGACCGGAGUAAUCCAGGUCAGUUUCUAUCUAUGCUGUGCUCUUCUCUAGUACGAAAGGACCGAGAAGAGGAGGCCUAUACCCCUGGCACGCCUCCCCCCCACCUGAUGAGUUUAACUGAAAAAGGUAAAAGGGCAUAACCCCGUGCCGAAGAUUACGGCAU